CCUAAUAGCACACGACGUCCUUUGGACGUCCAAAAUAGGUCCAUUUUUGGUCCUUACGUCCAUGGACUAUAAACGGACGUCCUUUGGACGUCCCAUUUUGGACGUCCUUCGGAAGGAAUAAAUAUGGACGUCCUUUGGACGUCCGACGUUGGACGUCCUUCGGACGGAAUAAAUAUGGACGUCCUUUGGACGUCCGACGUUGAACGUCCUUUGGACGUCCAUACUGGACGAAAUACGGACGUUUUAUGAACGCGUAUAUAUUAUAUUGGACACAUUAUACCAAUUACGGGAUCAAAUAGCAAAAUAAUUCAAUAAAAUAUUAACUUACGCGUUAACUUUACGUUAAUGAAAUACAGUCAAACCUGUCAGUAACGGCCACUAAAAUGAAAGAACUAUUGGCCGAUAUAGAAAGGUGGCCGUUAUUGCCAGUUUUUGUAGUCUAGAUAUACAGUAAAACUUGUGUUACUGGCCACCUGAUAAAAUCGGCCACCUGUACUAACGGCCAGUUUAAAUAUUCCCCAAACCAAUUAUAUCUAGACUACAAAAACUGGCAAUACCGGUCACCUUUCUAUAUCGGCCAAUAGCUUUUUCAUUUUUAGUGGCCGUUACUGACAGGUUUUACUGUAAUUGGUUUGGGGAAUUUUUAAACUGACCGUUAGUACAGGUGGCCGGUGUUUGCAGGGGGCCGGUAACACAGGUUUUACUGUAGUUUAAAUCGAAAAGAUUAAUAAAUCUUAAUUCAAAAUUGUAUAUACAAUUAUUACAAUUAUAAACAAACUAUAUAGUUUAAUAUCCAAAAAAUGUUUUUGAUUUUAUGUAAUGUAAUGAAAAUCUUAUUUGUAAAUUAUUGGUUACAAUGUUUAACAAUAGGAAAUAUUCAAGAAUAAAUAAAAUAAAAGUUUAAUCCUAACAACACAAAACAUUCCAGGAAUGUAGGUACUACCGUUCUAUUCCGUGAACAUCUAUCUGAUUAAAUUAUGGGUGGAAAGUUACCACAAGAUAUUCUAUGAACAUAGUACAAUGUCUUCCUGGAGGGGUAAAAUUUUCCAUUACAAGAUUUUAAGAGAGGCCAUUUAUUGUACUGUUCAAUUUGCGUUCAUUUUCAAAUUUGCCGCGCGAGUAUCUAUGUAGCGUCUCGUGGUCAUUGGUCAUCACAUUUCAUUUUCAUAACAUAACCGAUAACCUAAAAAUUUAGUAAAAAAGUAAAAAUUUUGAUUGGAAAAAAAUGCAUCGAUAAGGGGGUGUGGGAAAUGGAAAUUAGUGGCUUUUUUGCUGUACUGUCUGCUAGUUUUUGCUCUGGGCACUGGCUAGAUCUCUUGUUUAAGCAAUUUUAAUCAGCUGAAAGUGGCCUACAAAAAAAAAACCAAGAAGGAAAUGUAUAGCCUUGUGGCUAUGAAAGGCAAAAGAGAGAUAUAAAAAGUGUAUUGGCUAGUUGGAAGAAAGUCCACAUUGUCCAUGCAUAAUAAGUUAUUACAUUAUCAACAAAUAUCAAGAAGAUAGCAGGGUCACGAGCAUCAACUUCAUGAGUUCAAGAAUAUCGAGGAAAUCCAGCUCCUCGAUACUACUGGGCAAACUAGAAGAUUGAAGAGGACAAAUCCUUUUGAACUAGUUUGAGUGAUAGGUGAUAGUGAAAAACGGAGCAUAGUGCUUGUGUGCUGUGCCUGUGUAUGUUAGAAUAGUGCACGAUCUUGUUAGAUUAGAUAAGAGACGCUAUGGGGUAAGCUUUUCAUUUUAAGAAACAGUAGUAAUUUAGGCUAAAUUAAAAUUGCUCAUUGGUCAGUUAUGACCAGAUUGUUUUUUUAUGUUUGGCAAAAAGGACUUAAGUCAGAAUUGCACAUUGAUAAUGUUUUGAUGAUUUCUGGACCAGAAAAAAACUGUUGUAGAUGUAAACUGUAUGUACAGUAGAAUCUACUACAGUACUGUAGAAAUCAUCAAAACAUUAUCGAUGUGCAAUUCUGACUUAAGCCCUUUUUCCCAAACAUCAGAGAAUUGUAAUGUACAAUAAUUCUCCUAUCUGCUUUUUCAUGAAUUUUGUAGGAGACGAAAAACCAUUUUUAGGAUCAUCUGCUUUCACAUGUUUUGUAGUAAAUAGAUAGUUGAAUUUACUACAAAACAUGUCAAAAAAUAUAUGAAAACAGGAGGUGACUAUAAAAAAAGUUUUUAGUCUCUCUUACAAAACUCAUGAAAAAACAAAUCGGAGGUAUGUCACAUCAGUGACUAAGAAUGUCUAAAAAAUAUACUUUGAUGUCCCAAGAACCAAAUAUAACCUACAGUCCAUCUAAUUUACUUACUGUUGCACGUCAUUAUCUACGCCAGAGAUCUAAGUUGACAUAGUUGCCAAAGUAUAAAAAGAUCCUGAAUCCAUUUUAAAUCAAAUAUGUCACAUAAUUAUUGUAAACGUGGAUUAUACAACAAAACAAAUUAAUAUUCAAUGUAAAUAAGUAAAAACUUAAGAAAUAGAGAACAAGAAUUAAGUUAUAAUCUUUUAAGAUUUGCAGUGCAAGAGUUUUUGCACUGCAUUGUUAAUAAUUAAAAAACGGCUCCGAACUCUUGGCAAAAAGCCGGUAGGUUUCUUUGUAUAAGUAUGUCUACAAUAACAACUAAAAAAGUUGUCAGAUACCUCGAUUAUUCCAAGUCGUUAUAAAAUUAGGUGAAAUUUAUAUUUUUAUAGUAGAGGAUCUUUUUAUAUUAAAGUAAAUAAUAAAAACAGUAAAUAUAAUAAAUAAAACAGAUACUUAUAGUAAAGAAUAUAAACAAAUAUGAAGUGUCAUCACCGUAACUGUCAAAUAAAUGUUACCAAUUUAUUCUAAAAUGUCACCUUCGUUCGAUUACAGUUACAGUGUGAUCCGAACAAAUCUGCUUCAUAAAAACGCUUUAUAAUCCAUUUAUACAAAUUAAAUGAAACAUAUUAUUGUGUAUUUCUUUAGGUUAACAUUAAUAGAAAUCUUCAAAUAUUAUUUCUACGCGUAUAUAAUAAAAUAUGUCUAGUGGCUGUAAUUCCAGUGUACUCGGCAAAGUGAUUCUAAAAAAGAACACACCUACCGCCUAAAUAUUUCGUGUUGGUAUCAUGCAACCUCACAGGCUACGACGCGGAUGACGCGCAACAGUUAGUAAAUUAGACGAAGUAUGUAGAUAUAUACAGGGUGUAACAAAAAUACAGGUCAUAAAUUUAAUCACAUAUUCUGGGACCAAAAAUAGUUUGAUUGGACCUAACUUACCUUAGUACAAAUGUGCACACAAGAAAAGUUACAGCCCUUUGAAGUUAUAUAUAUAUAAUAGCACCAAGGGUCUUAGAGGCCCAUGGCUUGAAAAGUUUGUUUUUUUUCUUCAUUUUCACGUUUCUUUAUGUACUGAGAUCUUCUCUGGCUUGAUAUGUGAUUUUUCUCCAUUCCUUCCUGUUAUUCAUUUUUCUUUUCUGACCCUGUAGCACCAUUCUUUCCAAAUCUUUUUCGACCUCUUGCUUCCAUCUAUUUUUCGGCCUUCCUCUUCUCUUUCUUGAAGCUGUAGUGUAGUUUAGUACCAUUUUUGGAGUCCUCGUGUUUGGCAUCCUUUCAAUGUGACCUCGCCAUCUAAGUCUCUGUGCCUUUAUCAUUCAUUUGAAGUUACAAGAUGAAGUGAUUUUUUCCAAUAUAUCGAAAACUAUUAGAGAUUUUUUAUUGAAAAUGGACAUGUGGCAUUAUUAUGGCAGCA
rnacentral:lncRNA from 1 species